rnacentral:rRNA from 1 species
GACGAACGCUGGCGGCGUGCUUAACACAUGCAAGUCGAACGGAAAGGCCCUGCUUUUGCGGGGUGCUCGAGUGGCGAACGGGUGAGUAACCCGUGAGUAACCUGCCCUUGACUUUGGGAUAACUUCAGGAAACUGGGGCUAAUACCGGAUAGGAGCUCCUGCUGCAUGGUGGGGGUUGGAAAGUUUCGGCGGUUGGGGAUGGACUCGCGGCUUAUCAGCUUGUUGGUGGGGUAGUGGCUUACCCAGGCUUUGACGGGUAGCCGGCCUGAGAGGGUGGCCGGCCACAUGGGUACUGAGAUACGGCCCAGACGCCAACGUGGGACAGCGGUGGGAAAUAUGGCACAAUGGGCGGAAGCCUGAUGCAGCAACGCCGCGUGCGGGAUGACGGCCUUCGGGUUGUAAACCGCUGUCGCCUGUGACGAAGCGUGAGUGACGGUAAUGGGUAAAGAAGCACCGGCUAACUACGUG